UACAGAGGGUGCAAGCGUUAAUCGGAAUUACUGGGCGUAAAGCGUGCGUAGACGGUUAGAUAAGUCGGGUGUGAAAGCCCCGGGCUCAACCUGGGAAUUGCAUUCGAGACUGCGAAGCUAGGGUGCGGAAGAGGGAAGCGGAAUUUCUGGUGUAGCGGUGAAAUGCGUAGAUAUCAGAAGGAACAUCAGUGGCGAAAGCGGCUUCCUGGUCCAGCGCCGACGUUCAAGCACGAAAGCGUGGGGAGCAAACAG
rnacentral:rRNA from 1 species